rnacentral:lncRNA from 1 species
ACAAGGGUUCCCAGAGCAUGAUUCGAUGUCUGACCUUUUGCCACCCUGCACAGAGUCUCCAGAAAUUGUAGGGAAAGGACCAAGAGCUGGUUGGACACCCUGUGGACCGGAAAGAAUGCUGACUCAGGAGCCAGGUUAACAUCUUAAUGGAGGUAAGUGGUUCCAGCAAUUCCAUUAGGAGAGAGACUUCUGGCGGGGAAGCGUAAGCGUGUGAAGAAAGUUGAGCGAGGAAAGAAGCCACAAUUCUGAAAUGAACUAGUGUUUUACAUCAAAAACAGUCCUUUUUGGAAGGAGGACAGCCGCGUGGUUACGGAAAGGGGGCUCCGAGGCCGGCGCUGCAGUGUUUCGCCGGAGGAAGACAGCCGCGUAAGCAGGACCAUCUGGAGAGGAG